CAAACACAGCUCUCACACGUCUCAGUAAUUCCUUUCACUUCACGCUUUUGCGAGGGACUGUUGGGUUUUCUUUGCUGACGUUUGAGCAAACACACGUGCACCACGGGAGAAACAGCAAACRUCUGGCAGCUCGGAAAUGACCAAACUACUCAAAGAGGCAUGAUGCGCAGGCAACCUUACUAAUAAAUCCUUAUUCAGGAAAUAUUUGAAUCCUUUCAGGAAAGAAUAGUGUUCAGACAAAUUCAGUGUUGAUUGUACAUUAUUUGAUAUUUUCUAGCAAUCUUCCGGGACAGACAAGACGUUUGAUUGACAAACUGAGGCAUUAUGAGGGUCUGAAUUUCGAUGACGAUUGGAAGCUUCUGACUAUUCUCAUAGGCAUGAAUGACAUUUGUGAUUACUGCAAAGAUAAGGCUUUUUAUUCAGUGGACAACUACAUUCACUACAUAAACGUCUCUUUGGAAAUGCUCAUGAAUGAGGUUCCCCGGAUGAUCGUCAACAUGGUUCAUAUUUUGCCCAUGCAUACUUUGAG